rnacentral:rRNA from 1 species
CCUACGGGAGGCCGCAGUGAGGAAUAUUGGUCAAUGGGCGUAAGCCUGAACCAGCCAAGUCGCGUGAGGGAUGAAGGUUCUAUGGAUCGUAAACCUCUUUUAUAAGGGAAUAAAGUGUGGGACGUGUCCUAUUUUGUAUGGACCUUAUGAAUAAGGAGCGGCUAACUCCGGGCCAGCAGCCGCGGUAAUACGGAGGAUCCGAGGGUUAUCCGGAUUUAAUGGGUUUAAAGGGUGCGGAGGCGGCCUUUUAAGUCAGCGGGUAAAUACUGUGGCUCAACCAUAGUAGUGCCGUUGAAACUGGGGGGCUUGAGUAUGUUAGAGGCAGGCGGAAUUCGUGGUGUAGCGGUGAAAUGCUUAGAUAUCACGCAGAACCCCGAUUGCGAAGGCAGCCUGCCGAGCCAUGACUGACGCUGAUGCACGAAAGCGUGGGGAUCAAACAGGAUUAGAUACCCGGGUAGUC